ensembl:snoRNA
ACUCUCUCAGCUCUGCACGGUCACACUUGAUACCACGCGUGUGGCUUUCGUAAUCGGGAGAGAAAGGAAGGACCUCCUCGGGACCUCCAAGUGGCCUCACAGUGGCCACCCUUUCCUCGAGGGGUGCCACAGAU